CCCACAGAGUGAACGUCGUUGAGGAAAUCCCCACUCUUGAUGUUGGUCCGCUGGUGAAGGUGCGCGUGUCCGCGGGCCACACCGCGCGUCUGCCCUGCACUCACCAGCCGCUGUACGGCAACGACUCGACACGCCUGGUGCUGUGGUACAGGAAUGAUACGUCCAGACCCUUCCUCAGUCAUGACGGCCGCGAAGAUAAAGAAGUUGAAGGUUCGAAGGAACAACGCCUAUUAUUCCAACACUACCAACACCACCACCCCGGCGACAACCUCCCUUCCAGCCUCCGAAACUUCAAAUCUAAAACGCCGAACUCUGACAGCGAGAUUCCAUGGAGCGACGACGUCUCGGCAAGCGAGCGAAUUUCCCUGGCGGAAGAAGGGCAAACUCUGGUCAUCAAAUACGUGCAAGAGGACGACCAAGCCGAGUACAGAUGCACUGUACACUUCAAAAUAUCUCCUGCAGUCACCCUGAGAAUGCAGCUCACUG